rnacentral:rRNA from 1 species
UACGGGGGGAGCAAGUGUUGGUUCGGAUUUACUGGGCGUAAAGGGCGCGUAGGCGGUCAGCACAAGUCAGUUGUGAAAUCUCCGGGCUUAACUCGGAAAGGUCAACUGAUACUGGUGCGACUAGAGUGCGGAAGGGGCAACUGGAAUUCUCGGUGUAGCGGUGAAAUGCGUAGAUAUCGAGAGGAACACCUGCGGCGAAGGCGGGUUGCUGGGCUGAUACUGACGCUGAGGCGCGAAAGCUAGGGGAGCGAACGGG